rnacentral:lncRNA from 1 species
AUCCCUAUUUGUCACACAAAAGAAAGGAAUAAAAGGCAAGUGGGCGGCAAUGUUUAGAUAAGAUCAAACUUUAUCUUAUAUGGUAUCCUAUUCAAAUCAGAUUUGAACAUACCAUUAAAGAUCAGAUUAUUACCCAUAUUUGGAUGGGAGAAAGAGAGGGUGGAGGACUCUUUUGCAUGAAGAAAUCUCAUGCAAAAACUCAUUUCAGCAUGGAGAAAAUUGGCAUCAAAAGUUGUGGCGC